GGCAAGUCAUCACUAUGAUUGGGAAAGAAGCCAAAAUUAUAAUAAAAUGAAAACCUGUGCAUCAAAUCUGAAGGAUGAGUAUAAAAUAGGAUAAACAGUCUUAAAUGAAGAAAUUCAAAAAUAGGAAGCUGAAUUACUUCUCUGAGGAUGUCUUGUCACUAAAACAUGGAGAAUCCAACCUACCCUGCGUAGUUGUGGAAUCCCUCAGAUGACAGCAGUGAAGGGCUUUUGUGAUGAUCAUAGGAAGUUAUGUAUAUGAAAGUACCUUGAAAAAUAUAAACUGUUAUGAAUACGUACAAGCGGUAACAGAAGUCCAACCAAAAUUCCAAAGUGCAUCCUGAUUUCUUUCUCGAUUGUGAUGUUACAAGAACUCAGCUUCUUUUUCUCGAAUCACAAAAUACCAAUACGUGAAAAAUGACCCUGCCCUUUAGAAACUAUUUCAAACCUGUAACCAAGAGUGUAUAUUUUCUUUUGCCACCUGCAAAAUGUAUAAUAAAAAAAAUAGU
rnacentral:lncRNA from 1 species